AGGUAUUUACUGGCUACGCGUUGCUAGGGACCUUUCUUGCUGUUUCCACGGGCUGCAAUGUCGGUUUUAUAAUCUACUGUUUCAGAAUGCGUUCCAGGAGCCAAAGAUCACCGAAAGCUAUCAAAGAACUGCAAACGUUUUCGAAAUCAGACCAUGAGAGUACGUAUGAAGGUUUAGAUGUAACCAAAGUUGACACUACACGCAAUGUUUAUGACACUUUAGUACGACCCGAAUGAGACAUACAGAAGGACAUAAGAUAUCUUUCAUGCGACGUCGAAAUGACAUAACCAUUAUUUUAAUUUGCGAUUAUGAAUCACAGGAGAUUUUUACU